rnacentral:lncRNA from 1 species
GUAAAACCAAGGUCCCUCCAGAAGAUCACUAUUCCAGUCAUGAUAUGAGAUAUACUUUUGACUCCAACAAAGGAUCAUGCAAGGGUGGCCUCAAAUCUUGAUCCAAAUCACCCACUCGUUUGAUUCUAGAAAAUCCAGAUGUGUUAGCUCCUGGCUACAUGGUCCCAGGCAAGCACAAUUGAACUUGUCCCAUCACUGUAGUAGGGGCUGUCACACACAGCACAAAAAUGGCUAAGAAGUGUCUUGAACUUGUAAAUUCAUGUGCUACUAAAUUGUGAGACAUAAUCUAAAAGGAUUAUAUGAACUGUUUCAGACUUUGGGCAGCACCAGGGCAGCUCUCUGAUCACUGGCUUUGUCCCCUGCCAUGAUUCUAACCAGGUUGGUGAAUUUUAGUGUAACAGAUUCAUCUUGUGAGCACUGGUGCCAGAUUAACUGACCACCCAGUGGAGUACUUCAGUUUAUAGUGAUAUCCUUACUCAAACCUAACAAACAUUAAUAGAAUUGUGUCCAACCUUUAUAUUUUACUUUUUUAGAUGGGACCUCCAAUGGAGAUGGACCAAGGCCAAAAUUCCACAGAGGUUGCAGAAUUGCCCCUUCCUUCAGCAAGGCAGGUUGAGGAACACCUCCCAUCCUCUCCAUCCAAACCACUACAUGAUCUUAAGCCAGGCAACUGGAUCAUGAUAAAGAAUCCCAGCAGCAGGCGAAGGAAACAUUGCCUCUGGGUGGGUCCACACCAGGUGCUGCAAACAUCUGACACGCACAUCAUGAUUGCUGAAGGAGCAACCUGGUUGGAUAGCAGCCAGUUUGAGAAGUUGUCUUAGUAUUAUGAGUGUUCUUUAACAAAUGUUCAAUAAUUUAAAUAAUAUUUAAUGUCUGUGACGGGUUCUGGGUGUGUCAGCAACAAUAAACACUUUCUGCUUGCUGUCCAGUUUCUAUCAGGCAUUGAUUCCUUAACCAAUCACAUUUCCAUCCUCUGAUUUGCUGGUCCAAGCAAAAUUGUUAGGUUUGUUAGGUUUUGGGUUUUUUCCAGGACCCAAAAGCAGGUAGAAUGCAGUGGUAAAAAGUCUAAGUUUUUAUUCAAAGAUCAAUUUGGCUCCUGGACCGCAGGGAGGCACUCAUCCGGUCUUCCGGGGCACACAAAGACCUCCAGCAUGGAGCCAACACAGGAGUCAGGUCCUGCACGUUCUACAGUCCAGCAGGGCAGCGUGGAGACCUCAAACGAGCAGGGAGAAACAGAUCAACAAGUUGCAAACAACCAAAGAAGAGGAAACAGGAGUCAGCUCUACCAUGGGAAACCACCAAAACUCUCCAACACUGGCAGACAGGCGCUCCGUCCUUAAAUAGGUGGCCUGAUGUAGAUUGCCGACAGGUGCGCCUGCCUGCAGUGCUAGCUGUGGGAAAUGAUCAGCUCCUCCACGCCCCCUGCAGGAAACACCAUACAACACACUUU